rnacentral:tRNA from 1 species
UCCAGGAUGGCUGAGAUGAUAAAGAAUCUGCUUGCAAUGCAGGAGACCCAGUUUCGAUCCCUGGGUCAGGAA